rnacentral:rRNA from 1 species
AGUGAACGCUGGCGGUAGGCCUAACACAUGCAAGUCGAACGGCAGCACAGUAAGAGCUUGCUCUUACGGGUGGCGAGUGGCGGACGGGUGAGGAAUACAUCGGAAUCUACUUUUUCGUGGGGGAUAACGUAGGGAAACUUACGCUAAUACCGCAUACGACCUACGGGUGAAAGCAGGGGAUCUUCGGACCUUGCGCGAUUGAAUGAGCCGAUGUCGGAUUAGCUAGUUGGCGGGGUAAAGGCCCACCAAGGCGACGAUCCGUAGCUGGUCUGAGAGGAUGAUCAGCCACACUGGAACUGAGACACGGUCCAGACUCCUACGGGAGGCAGCAGUGGGGAAUAUUGGACAAUGGGCGCAAGCCUGAUCCAGCCAUACCGCGUGGGUGAAGAAGGCUUUCGGGUUGUAAAGCCCUUUUGUGGGGAAAGAAAAGCAGCAGGUUAAUACCCCGCUGUUCUGACGGUACCCAAAGAAUAAGCACCGGCUAACUUCGU